AUAGAGGAUAAAUACUGGAAGGUUUUAUUCUUCAAAGCUUCGGCACCUGAGGAUGGGACUGCGUCGGAUUAGCUUGUUGUCGGGAUAAUUACCCGACAAGGCGAUAAUCCGUACGGGUUGUGAGAGCAAUAGCCCGGAGAUGGAUUCUGAGACAUGAAUCCAGGUCCUACGGGACGCAGCAGGCGCGAAACCUUCACAAUGCCUGAAAGGGUGAUGAGGGAACUCUGAGUGACUUCGCAAUGCGAAGUCUUUUGCCAAGUGCAAAAAGCUCGGUGAAUAAGUGGUGGGCAAGACAGUUGCCAGCCGCCGCGGUAAUAACUGCGCCACGAGUGGUGAUCUCGUUUAUUGGGCUUAAAGCGUUCGUAGCCGGUUUUAUAAGCAUCUGGUGAAAUCCGAUAGUAAACUAUUGGGCUGGCUAGGUGUACUGUAAGACUAGGGACCGGUAGGGGCCGGGAGUACUCCUAGGGUAGGGGUUAAAUCCUUUAAUCCUAGGGGGACUACCAGUGGCGAAGGCGCCCGGCUAGAACGGGUCCGACGGUGAGGGACGAAAGCUGGGGGAGCGAUCCGGAUUAGAUACCCGGGUAGUCCCAGCUGUAAACGAUGCCCGCUUGGUGUGGUGAAACUUUCGUGGUUUUGCCGUACC
rnacentral:rRNA from 1 species